AGGUUUCAGUGGUUACCUAUUGGUAUGAAAGCCGCUAGAAUUUCACGGUAUAAUAUUUUGAGAGGUUUCAGUGGUUAUGAUUUCAUAUUAUAAGUUCAAAGAUACAUAAAAUGAUCUAUAAACGACAUGAAUUAAUAUAAUGCAUUACUGAUUUUGAGUCAUAUGCCACGAAACUUAACAUGAUACAGAGUCGAAAUACAACUGUAAACCAAUUAUGCAUUAUCUCAUAAUAUUAAAGAGAAAUUGAUUGAAAGUAUCAAACAAUGCAUCAGGUGUCUGUUUAAGACCUCAAGAACUUGGUGAAAGUCAUAAACAGCUUGAACAUACAUAGUUGAAAAAUAUGGUGGUUUGCGAUGCAUAUAUCGUUCCAAUAUGAGUACUGUUGAUGUUUGAACAUUUGCAAUGUAUGAUUGCUUUUCUUUUUUGAAAAAAAAAAUAGUAAAAAUUCGAGUAAUUUGAUAAUUAAAUUAAUUUUUAUUACAUUUUUAUUAUAUUUUUAGUAUAAUUAUUUUUUGGUUUAAAAUUUUAUUUAUCAUAUUUUAAGUUUGAAAGUAUUAAAGGAAUUUGUGGUGGGUAUAUAUUUUUUUGUUUAAAUAGUGAGUAUAUAUGAAAGGGAACAUAUUAGAAAAAUGGAAAUAACAAUGUUCAACCUAUCAAUAUGGUGAGAGAGCGCCCUAUUGUUCUAUAUGCACCCCUAAUAUCUAGACGUCUAAAGUUUCCAAAUCUCUCUCUCUCUCCUCUCUCUCUCUCUCUCUCUCUCUCUCUCCACACCAGUCUCGAAAUGAGUACAUAGCAGAUCCAUAACUUUAACAGUCCGCCGAUAAGAAUGAUCCUAAAGCUCUUCUCGAAAGAUUCACCUUUGAACACUAGCAUCAUUAGUGAUGUGAUUAUAGACCAAGUUUACAAGGUUCUCGUGAUUGGAAAUUCUAAGGUUUCAACUUGGUAUAAAGUUGAAACCUUUAUUUGGUGACGAUUGAGAUUAUGGGAUAAAAUUGAAAAUUUCUUAAUUGAUGGUUCUUUAUGAGUUAUAAUGAUUUAUUGUCAAUGUUUUUCUUACACUUUUUUAUGUGAAUCAAUUACAAGAAUCAGUUAUGCUUCUUGUUCUACGGUACACUUAUGUGACUUCACUGAUCUACAUUAACAGGAGAAGUUUCGGGAAGAGCACUUAUAUGACCCAGACCUAGGCAAAACGAUGACUCUGAUGAAGCUAAAUGUUGACUAGUUUUGGUUGUUAUUAAGCUUUUUAAAGAUAACAUAACUACUAAUAUAUCAUUUAAUAUAAUACUAGAUUAGUGAUUAUUUCUGUGGUCCAAAAUAAAGGCGACGGCGAUGGCGAUAGUGAUAUUUUUUAGGGUUCUGAUGGAUUUUCGAAAUUUUGAUCCGGGGAAUCGAUGGGGAUCUGGAGAGUACGAUCGGAUUGGGCAUCUUUAUUCAUCGGGAAUCAAAGGGAUACGGAAGAUUCAUGGAGAUGCCGAAGGAAAAGAUCAAUUAAAUCUUAAGGAAGGUUUCAAGGGAAAAGAAAAGAUAGGAUUCACAGGAUAUUGAGCGAAGACGAGGGAUAGCUAUUGGAUCUGGUUGAGGGAUUUACGACUGAGGAGCUCUAUGAGUAUUGAUGUUAUGGAUCAAGUCUUACCCGAAGUGAGAUUAAGUACGAAGGAAUUGGAUUUUGGAGGGGGGGGGGGGGGGAGUUUCAAUUGGUUUAAUAAGCUCUAUGAGUAUUGAUGUUUUAAUUUGUUUCAAGGGUAGAAGGGAAGUAGUUACUGCAUUAUUAUGUUGGUGUGCUUUGAUAUGCUGGAAUAAUAAUGUUUCUUGGUUUGCACGGUGUCUUGGGUUGUUAAGGGUCACUGUUUUAAACGCUGGUGAUGGCUUUUACAUCUGGAAAUUAAAAAAUGGUCAUGUUGGGAGAGUCUUUGAUAUCAAUACGGAAUCAAUGGGACGUGGAAAAUGGAGGAGAGAGAUACACGUAACCAAAUCCGGAAUCUUGCUUCAGUUUGGGCAUGUGUGCAGACUCUCUUUUCUUAAUUGGCAGGAGCGGGAAAGGUUUGAGAAUCAGUGGGUGAAGUUCUAUAGGUUACAAAGAAGGCUCGAGGGAGGAGGUUCAUGGAGACUGGAGUACGUAAAGGAGAUCCAGUACAUAAGGGUUAUAUGGCAGUCAUUGCAUCAAAGUAGAGAGUUUAAUGUUGUGUAUGAAAUGGAAUCUGGAUUAGUUUUUUCUCUUGAUAAGGUGUGAUCAGUUUAUAAGAGGGUACAUAUUUCUUUUUGUUCUUGUGUUAUAAUUUUGUGGAGAGUAAGGUCAAUCAGGUCAAACAUGACUUUUGUAGUUGUAGACUUUGACGUGCAAACAUACAAGGAAGUGUGGUAUGUAUUAGGCAAUUGGUCAUAUUCAAAAACAUCUCUCUUUGAUUCUUCUGUGGAUUCUAUGGUAAAGUGUUGGUUUGAGGACAUGAGGAGGAAUCUCACUAUUGCUGAGUGGAAUGGAUUUUUCAAUAUGUUUAAUCCGGAGUUUAUUAAAAAUUAUUCCUCUAUGAUAAUGGAUUAUGAUUGGUAUUGUAUUAUUUCAUUGUUAACACAGGUUCCCUUCCGGCACUUUGGGAAGCCUUGGAGCUUUUUGAUAAUAUAAUAUAAUUUAAAAUUGGUUUGGAUUCGUGACUGCCAACUAUUUUGGAAAAAAUGGUACAAUGGUUUACAUCAGAUUGUUGAACUAGGAUGGUGUGGUUUUGUUUUACAUGGGUUUGGCGAAUACUUGGAUGCAGUUCUGAUAUGGUGGCUGUGGGGUUUUGAUGUUAAAACAUUUUCGGGUAUCAUUAAACCUGUAUGUUAUGGCUCGAUGGAGCAAUACAAAUAUUUUUAUAUAUGAAAAUAUUAAGUUGGAAUGUUAGAGGAUUCGGAAGUCAUUGUACCAUAAGUUAUCUCCGGGAGAUAUGACACAAACAUAAACCAGAUUUUUUAUUUUUA